rnacentral:rRNA from 1 species
CGGUUCGCCACCCCCGACGUCGCGAGAAGUCCAUUGAACCUUAUCAUUUAGAGGAAGGAGAAGUCGUAACAAGGUUUCCGUAGGUGAACCUGCGGAAGGAUCAUUG